CAGAAUAGCGUUUAGAAUGACUUCAAAAUCAGACCAUUUUUAAAAUUUGUUUUGGUCCAAAUCAAAACAAAGUCCACUAGUUUUCUCUCUUUUAGUUUUCAGGGGUCGAAGGAAUGGCUAUCAAAAACGCAAAGGAGCAAAUUUGGGGGAAACUAACCCUAGAAUGAAACCAACUUCUCUACUUUCGCUUUGAUCUUCAACGAAGCAGUGAUUCGAAUAGAAGCUUAUCCUUCAUCUUAUCUGAAAUCAAGCUCGUCCACCUGAUAGAUGAAUUUGAGCUUGGAAUCGUCAAUUGGGGGUCGAAUGUGUAGAUGUGGUUUGCCUGCAAAGAUUGUCACAUCGUGGAUCAAUUACAAUCCGGGAAGAAGGUUCUUCGAUUGUCGGUUGUUUUAAGAAGCAUAAGACCGAUCACUGCAACUAUUUUGAGUGGUUUGAUGAAGGAGUGGUUGAUGGAUGGCCAAAAGAAGCAUUGAUUCGAGCUCGAGAUGAAAUUCGUGAGAAAGGUAAAGUCAUCAAUCAACUAACUACCCAAUUAAUGGAACUUCGUUUGGAAUAGGAGAAGCAUAAAGUGGAGAUCUCAUCUAAAGGUUGUGAGGAUGAGAACAGUUCUGUGGAAUCCGACCAUAAGGUUGGAUGGAUGAAAAAGAUUUUGGGAAAUACGUCUAUCUCCAAUGCAUAGGAAGGUGUGAAAUGCAUGUGUUAUGUCUCUCUCCAUUGCAUAAGCAAGCGUGAAAUGCAUUGGUUUAGUUUGUCGGGCGUCCAUAUCUGCUUUUUCACAUUUUUCUCAGCUUUAAGUUUCUUAGCACAUGGUGGAUAAAUUUGUAUUCCUUUUAUGUUAGAAAAAACUUGUGUUUGUGCCAUAUUUGAGUUUCUCUAAUCAUAACGCUUGCUCUAAUCCUAGUAAUAUACUGUUAUUUUGUUAUUUCAGUGGUGGCUCGCUCUUGAAGAGUGUAUUCUUCUUUUGUGUUUACAUUCAUAUGCAGACAUUUAUUAAAUAUUUGAAACUUUAGAUUGAAAGAGGAAGAGAAUUGCUUCUGGGGAAAAACUUUAGAUUGAAGUCUGCUGCAUAAUUUCUAAAGUCCUGCAGCCAUAUUCUGAAGUCUUAGGCAGAUUAAUACUCUUCAAUGAUUUGAUUUAAGAUGGAACUUCUUAAAUGCUUCCUUCGUGCAUCAACACCUCUAGAUUAUAUUGAGCUUUUAUAUCAACCAACGUAUAAUACUAUUUGCAACUAGUAUUACAUCUCUUAAUUAUCAAGUCCAAUCUUCAUGUUUGGUUCCUCGUUGUCGUAGGCCCACUAUGAGGCCCAAGUGUCUGAGUUGACCAAAGUCUCGUUCCACAAAACUCCACCUAGACGCUGGUUCACUCAAAACGACACCGACACCAUCGAUGAAGCCUCUUCAUCUCCUUCCUUUCUCUCUCUCUGAUAAUCUCGCAUGUAAAUCCAUUUAGAUCAUCUCCUUUUGAUUUUCUAUGCACAUGCCUGGAUUCGCUUCUUCGAAUCAUAACCCUUCUUCGAUUGAAUCCUUGUUUCGGUGAAUCUCUCCACCCAAGAUGCUCCGUGACUGAAACUGAGAGAAUUGAAGUUCUUUAGUCACGAUUCAUGCUCGCGACUUCCAUGGAUGAGCUCCGCCUAGCUCCGCCGUCCUCUGAGACCUUCAGGUGAACUCGACUUGUAUUAAUUUCACAUAUAUUAUCAAAAUCUUCAAUUAAUCGAACAAGUCUAAUCUCUUUGUACUUCUCCUUUUCUGGUGGCCAUGGCGAGGAACAACUUCUCCGAUAAAACCCAGACUCAGGUGAUUUAACUCCUUGUUUCUUCUUUGUUGUGAUGAUGAAAUCGGUCUUGAGUGUUAACUUUGGGUUUUAAGACAACAUCAAGCUUAACUUUUGGUCUCGAUCUCCAUAGCUGAGCUCCACCUUGAUCAACGAUUUCUCUGAUGAUUCAGACGAUUAAAAUAUCUCAUGAGGAUGCUAAUUUUUUUUUUACGAGGACCAUAAGCUUUUGACUAAUCAAAAUCUCAGCUUCCAAUGUUGAGCUUCACCUAGCUCAAACAAACUUCAGCUGUAGCAAUGAGAAUCCGACUUCUCUACAACUUCCUUCAGUUUCAGCUUCUCCAUCUGGAACCAAACCCGACUAUGGUUCCAUUACAGGUAAAUAUGAUAACUCCUCCUUCGUUAGUCAUCUUAUAUCAACGUAGAGACAGCUUGCCUUGAGAAAUCUAACUUGUUUUCUCUUGCUCUGUCUCUUUCUUGCGAGAGCUUAUGUCGUUGAUAUGGAGUUACCUGCAAGCUGCCAUCACACUUAGACGAUUUCAAGGAGAUCACAGCAGAGUUCAAACUUUGGCCCAGGUCUUCAGAGUAUCCUUUAAAUACCUCAAUACCGAUUUUACUGUUGACCAGUGAUCUCUUCCUGGUGCUGACACGAAUCUGCAUAUAACACCAAUAACAUAACCUCUUCUUCGAUUGAAUCCUUGUUUCGGUGAAUCCCUCCACCCGAAAUGCUCUGUGACUGAAGCUGAGAGAAUCGAAGUUCUUUAGUCACAAUUCAUGGUCGCAACUUCCAUGGAUGAGCUCCGCCUAGCUCCGCCGUCCUCUGAGACCUUCAGGUGAACUCGACUUGUAUUAAUUUCUCAGUAUUUAUCAAAAUCUUCAAUUAAUCAAACAAGUAUAAUCCUUUGUUCUUCUCCAUUUCUGGUGGCCAUGGCGAGGAACACCUUCUCCGAUAAAACCCAGACUCAGCCUCAAGCAUAACUUUUGGUCUCGAUCUCCAUAGCUGAGCUCCACCUUGAUCAACGAUUUCUCUAAUGAUUCAGUUUUUCUUCCAUGUCUGAUGAGAAAUUGUGAGUUCUCUUCUCCUGACGCAAAAAACUUAGCUUCUGAGCCGGCUCGGAAUAUUCUUCAAGGUGACCCAAACUGGAAAAGUUGAAAUCUCUGGAAGCGACAUUGUUACUGGAAAACAUGAUUUUGAUCACCAGCAUGGACAUUUUACAAGGAAAUAAUUCCAAUUGGAUAGAUGCUUCAGAAGAAAUUCACACAUCAUCUCAAGGCACUGUUUUUGUAGUACACCAGAGUUUCAGACAGAGCUUAAAACUUUAAGGUCAUCUAUUGAGGACCAUAUAAAUCUCUUCAAUGUUAAACUUCAUGAAGCUAAAGAGUUUUUCAAUGACACUAGAAAAUCGAGAGACGAGAUAAGAGCCAUAAUUAGAAGUGUCAGCAUGUUGCAAGAUAGAUAUCAAUCUGGUGGUGGUCAUUGCCAAACAGAAGAAAAUGUUAAUGACUCGAAGAAAUUAAGCAAGGAUAGGCUUCGUAAAAAUGCUUUUACGCUCUUGAAAUUGGUAGAGGUUGGGGCUCAUAAGAAGUUUUUGUAUAAAUUCUAUCAUGUGGAUUCCAAAGCUUCCUAUAUAGAUCGGGAAAUUCUUGCUUAUGUUGAUGGAGUUUUGCGGGGAAAUAUUGCUAUACUAAAUGCGGUCAUGCAUAAGGGGUUUGACUGUAGGCGAGAGUUACCUGAUGAAAAUUCAAGAAACAAUUGAUGAUCAUUCGAUGUAAUCCUUUAGGUUGUUGUCACUCUUCUAGAGUUAAAAACUUAAAAUGUCAAUGUCGUCAAAUUCUUUUUCUUAUUUUGGAAGUUUCUAUUUGUUUCGCAACAUUCGUCAUCCAAUGUCUUUUUCUUAUCUU